AAAAAAAAACUUUAAAGCUCGAUACAGAAUCUAUAAUCUUAACAUUGCGAGCUUCACUGUUCCAGAGAGAACUUUACUGUAGGAGGGGUUGUUUGCGCUAGAUCCAACUCCUUGAUGGCCCGUUCUUCUUUGGGGAUUUAUGUCAGUUUCUGUGUUAUAAUUCAAAAGCUGCUUCAAGAAGACUUCUUUGUAUGACUUUUUCGCGCGUUCCCGACGUUCAUACGGAUUGUGCAGAGAUUUUAGUUGGAUUUGUCAGAUAAUGGGGCCGGUACUUGAAGAAUUUUCCAGUUGUCCUUCAAUUCGGGUCCAUAAUUUCUUUGUGGUGGGGUUAUAUUUGCCUUUCAUUUUGUAUGGGUUUUGUCUUCUUUUGUUGAUUGCAGUUUUGUUUUGUUGUUGGUGGGCAUGUCUCUCGCCGGAUAUUUAAGAGGGGUUUGUGUAUCUUUCGAAUCCAUUCCUGGGUUCACUGAUAAAUUGUGUUAUUCUGAUUUUCUGAUUCGACGGUAAUUCCAUGGAGGUGGGGUUUAGGUUUGAAUUAUUUCUUUUGAUUUUGUCAAUUGGUGUCUGAUUGCGGUUUUGUCGUGAUAGUGUUCUGUGUGGCGCUGAUGAUGUAUAUAAUGGUUGUUUGCAUUCAGUUUUCCUUCACAAUCAAAUUUGUUUCAGAAUUUUUGUUUGGCAGUGAGACUUUGUAUUGCACUCAUGGAAAAUUAAGGAUAGGGUGAGUUUAACGUCAACUUCUCCAUCUUCUUCCUAUUUUUUUAUUGCUGUUUUUUUGUUUAUUCUAAUUUUUGUGUUCUUGCUGGUUUGUUUCUUGCUGUUCUUUUAUUCGAUGGAAGCAUUGACCACAUCAAUUCUCGGUAAAUUUCUAUCUUCCCUAUUUUUCUUUUUUCUAAUUAGCUUUUAUGCAUAAUAUUAUCAUUCUUUACAGAUUUCAGGAGGUAAAAUUAUUUGUUCCUUUUGCAAGUUUACAUGUCAAACUGUUAAAAUUUUGUGAGUUGUUAUCCCAAUAUCAAUCUUAGUUGUUAAACUACUUGAUUUUGAGGGGUGAGUACUUUAGUAGGGUUAGAAUCAAUAGUAGGGAUAAAAUGCAUUGAAGGUGUUUGAUAAAUGUCCAUGAGAAAAAUAUUUGCUUUUGUUUGUUAUACUAUUCUCUCGUGAAAAGAUGAUAUUAUUAACAUAUACUAUUUUCUCAUUAAUUUCAUCAAGUUUACAUUGUAGAGACACCAAAUGUCUAUAUAAUAGAGCCACUUUGCAGUGCUUGAAGGUGAGUUUUUUUACUCUUCUACAUAUCUUAAAGACAUUAACAGUUUUCAAACUAACUUGUGAUGAAGGCAUGUUUCAUUUUAAAGAGCUCGACAAGUAAAGGUUAGAUCAAUAUUUCUUAUGCACUAAUUUUGACAGAUCAUGUGUUCCCUGCACAUAUUCAAGGAGUCUAUUUGAGGCAUCAAUGGCUAUGCGUAUGAUUUUAGCAUUGUAUAUAAAUCAAUAUCAAUACUCUUAACAAGCUGCGGAAAAAAUACACUCUUUAGAUUUGCAAGCCUUUUAUAUUAGAAUUAUGUGAUUGCUACAAACCUUUAAGAACUUAGACUUACGGCAUAUCCUUUAUUUUCUUUACUUUUUCUAAUGUAUUAUUGUAAUUACUUAGGGUGGUGAGGUUGGUAGAUUUACCCACUAUAAGAUGAAAGGAAAUUUAAUGUUGGUUUCUUUUCUAAUAUGUAUUAUCGUUAGUUCCAUUUUUCAUGAAAGGAACUAAUGUGUCGAUUUCUUUUUUGUUAACUUAACAUUUGGAAGGGUUAGGUUAUGGGGUUAUUGGAUGUAUAACUUAACUUUGAUUUGGAUGAUUGAUAUGUAUGUGGGAUUGGUUUGGUAUUUGGUGUGUGGUUUUUCAUCUAUUAAGAAACUUUUAGUUCAUGCAAAGUGUAUUGCUAUUGUUUUAUUAUUAUCUACUUUAGACAAGAUCACGUUAGAGAGUAGUACUACCAAGCAUAUAGAUCCUGAAAUGGUGUGGAACUGUAUGUGGGCUAUGGUAGUCUGGCUCAAAACUGUUACACACAAUAAGAAUUAAGCUGCAAGACUCAAACUUAUAUGUUGUCAUUUAGUGGCAGGGAACAUUUCAUCAUCUAUAUUCAAUUCAGGUGCCUAGAAACCAUAGUGCUAGGUGACAGGUUUCAUCAACAUUGAUAUAUUUUCUUGGUUCCAAUUUCAAAUAUUCAUACUCCUCUUACAUCUUUUAUUUCACUCUUUUUUUUAACAAUUACUCAAUGCAUCAUUAGACAAAGGUAAAGGAGUUAUAUGUAUGAUUGUGAUUCUCUUGAGAUACCCAUUAGAACCAAGAUACUUGCCUUAAUGCAUGUUAUUCACUAUAUCCUUCCAUAUAUUCUAUCUUCAUGUCACAUGCAUCUUGAUUUUUUCUCCCUAACUUUUGGAAAUUUCACAUUGCUCUGAUUGGUUCCUUUUUACAUAUAUAUGUGUGUUGUCAACUUUGAUCAUGGAACCAAUGACUAUAUGCUUUUAUUAUUGCUGUUCGAUUUAUUUGUGCAGGGUUGUGUGAUAGAUGUAGAAUGCAUACAAUGAAGUGGUGAUAGAUGUCAGAAUUUGGCCAUAAAAAUUGCAUUUUAAUCAGUGAUAGGAAAUUAUGACCGGAUUGUGUAUAUACCACAAUACUUCAAAUAAAUUCACAACAUGCCACCUUCACUGUCAUAAAUGUUGGAUUCGGCUGCUUGCUAAUAGGGGUUUAUAAGCCAAUGCACAUGAUUUGCGCAGUACAAGAUUGCAUUGCAUAUGAUAAUAGUUAUGAGAUGAAAGUGCAAUAUGAUGGGAUGUGGGAUGAUGAAAGCAAGAUAGAAGAUGAGCUCCAUAUUUUGACUGUAUUACAUUUGCUAUUAAUUAGUUGUAUUACUUUUCAAAUUGACUUCUAUGUACCCUAACAGUUAGUGAAUGGUGUCUUUUUUUCUUCAAUGUUCGGAAGUUUAGAGCAUGUUUAUUCUAUCUUCUUUGAUUGCUUCAUCUUCAA